rnacentral:rRNA from 1 species
UACGGGGGGAGCAAGCGUUGUUCGGGAUUUACUGGGCGUGAAAGGGCGCGGUAGGCGGCCACCGCAAGUCGACUGUGAAAUCUCCGGGCUUAACCUGGAAAGGUCAGCCGAUACUGCGGGGCUAGAGUGCAGAAGGGGCAACUGGAAUUCUCGGUGUAGCGGUGAAAUGCGUAGAUAUCGAGAGGAACACCUGCGGCGAAGGCGGGUUGCUGGGCUGACACUGACGCUGAGGCGCGAAAGCUAGGGGAGCGAACGGG